CCUCGUUGUGUGUACCUAGUACAUAGGUGCAUGUGAGAGAGAAAAAAAGAGAGUAGUCAUUUAGGUUAAUAAAAGACGAGAGAAUGGUGAAAGAGAUUUAGAAAAAGGGCUCGGGUUUGAAGCUACUCUGUUGCAGAAGAGAAGUCAGGUGUAAUAUUCUUUUAGUUAAUAAAACUUAUUUCACCCGCAUAUUUUUUUUAUUUGUUUUUCUCUCUUUUGUUCAUAUAUCAGCUUUUACUGAAAAGACGGGUUUAUGGUAAAAACUUGAUUUGACGUAUUCGUUGCGAAAUCUCAACAAUCAGUACCGGAUUAACAGUAGUCGAUAUCAGAGCGGGUUGUGGAUUCUCAAAAUCUGGUAUCAGAGUGAGUACCAUAUUUCCAACAAUUGGUAUCAGAGAUUAAGGUUACCGAUCUGUGGGAGAGAUCAAUAGAGAUGGCCACGAAAUUCAAAAUCGAGAAGUUUGAUGGCAAGAACAAUUUGGCAUUAUGGCAGAUUAAAGUACAAGUGAUCCUCGUACAAGAAGAGUUGGACGAGACGUCAAACGAAAAGGAGGCGAACCCAACAGAAGUCAAGGAUGUGGCAUGGGAGAAGAUGGAGCGGAAGGCAUUAAGCAUGCUUCAUCUAUUAUUAGCAGAUGAGAUUCUAUACAAUGUAGCGAGCGAGGCAACACCGGCAAAAUUGUGGAAAGAUCCGUACAUAAUGAAGUCUUUGACGUACAUAAUGAUGUCUUUGACAAACAGGUUGUAUCUGAAGUAGUGACUGUUUACCCUACAGAUGCAGAAAACGGCAAGCCUAUAUGAGCAUCUGAGCGAGUUCAACAAGGUAGUAGUGCAGUUGACCAGCAUCGGAAUCAAUCUGGAUGGCAAAAAUAAGGCAUUGAUUUUAUUAUCUUCGCUAUCGAUAGUAUAUGAGCAUCUGGUGACUACAUUGCUUUAUGGCAAGGAGACCAUAAGCGUGGGGGUGGUCACAACGGCGCUUCUCUCGAACGAGAUGCGGAAGAUGACUCAGAAGUCCGGCAUGCAGAGCUGUGAUAUAGCGCUGGUGGUGAGAACGAAGAAAAAGANAAACUCAGUUGUUUAGCUUUGUAUAUUGAGCAGCUCUAUGCUACUGUUUGUAGUAUUGUAUAUUUACAGGUACUUUUGACGCUUCGUAUACAGGGGAAAUUCCUUGUAUACGGCGGAUUUGUCGGCGUGCCCGGGGAACGAGACAUCCGGGGCGUGACAGAUGGGGUCGUGAGGACGAUGACAGGUGUGCAGCACGUUCCUAGUUUGAAGCGGAAUUUGAUCUUGUUAAGCGCAUUGGAAUCGAAGGGUUGCGAUUUUUCGACUUCAAGUGGACCUAUGAGGGUUCGAAAGUGAGAUUGGGUUGUGUGCGAGGCGAACAAGCAUAUUAUAUGUUCUGAAUGGGAGUACAGUCUGUUACACCCCAAUAAUCUCACAUCGGAUGUGAUUGGGUAUAUAAGAGACUUAGACACUAGUAAUAAUAACUGGGCUAAGCAUUUUGGGUCGGUGGUUGGACCCAACGAGUUAUUAUUGUUAGUGGGCUGGGUCGUUACACAGUCAGAAUGAGAGCAAAACGAAUUUGGAUUCCAAAAUUUCAUGGAGGUGCAGUCACUCGAGGCGGAGCUGCUGAGGAGACAAGUCCAAGGUGGAGUGUGCAUGGUGAGCUCGAUGCAGCCGUUGAUGGUUACAAAUCCAACCAAGGUGAAGAUUGUUAGGAUUUGGUUAGAUUUUUAGUUGAUUUUCUAGUUGGAUAAGAAUUAAUAUUUAAAUCUAUUGGAGAUAAAUUAAGAUUUAAAUAUUAAUUAGAGUAUAGAUCUAACUAGAUUAGGAUAAAUAUUUAAAUCUAUUGGAGAUAACCUACAUAUAGAUUUAAAUAUUAUUUAGACUAGGAUUCCUAAUUAUCCUAGGAUUUGGGUACAUCUUGGGUGGAGCUUAUAUGUAGGGUUAUGUAUGCAAAUUGUUGAAAGAGCCUAGGUGGUGUACAAGUAAGAGAGAGCCUUUUAUGAUGGUGACCGUACCGUGGAGAAGCCUAGGCCCCAUUGUGUGCACCUAGUGUAUGGGUGCGUGUGAGAGAGAAAACGAGAGAGUAGUCGGUAUCAGAGUGGAAUCCCAACAAUUGGUAUCGGAUCAACAACAGUAGGUAUCAGAAUG
rnacentral:lncRNA from 1 species